rnacentral:rRNA from 1 species
GACGAACGCUGGCGGCGUGCCUAAUACAUGCAAGUAGAACGCUGAAGCUUGGUGAUUGCACCGAGCGGAUGAGUUGCGAACGGGUGAGUAACGCGUACGUAACCUUCCUGGUAGCGGGGGAUAACUAUUGGAAACGAUAGCUAAUACCGCAUAAUAGUAGAUGUUGCAUGACAUUUGCUUAAAAGGUGCAAUUGCAUCACUACCAGAUCGAUCUGCGUUGUAUUAGCUAGGUGGUGAGGUAACGGCUCACCAAGGCAACGGUACAUAGCCGACCUGGGUGGGAGAACCGGCACAACUGGACUGGGAAAACGGUCCGGCUCCUUACGGAGGGCGGAGGAGGGGAAUUUUGGCAAUUGGGGGAAGUCCUACUGCACACCUCCCGGUUAGUGAAGAAGGGUUUCGGAUUGGAAAGGUCUGUUGUAAGAGAAGGAAGAGUAUGAGAGUAGAAAGUUCACGUUGUGACGGUACCUAAAGAGAAAGCGACGGCUAACUACGUG